GUAGAUUUUUACGUUCGUGUUACUCGUGUACGUCUGCGGAGACGCGGUAACGUCUUUUUGCAUGCAUAUUAUAUUUUCCACUUUCGGCGCUCAAUCCCUACAAUACGCUUAUAACAAUAGUCACACCGUAAUACUAUACGCGCCGUUCGGACGAUGCACUAAAGUCAGGAGACACUUCGUGUCUUCGGUCAUACGUCAAUCGUCACCCAGAUGCUAAGAUCCUCGCGCUCUUUUGUCUCGGUACAAUUGAUAUGUAGCUGUGGUAACAGUGGCGUAGCCAACUCAGAUAUUUUCAGAGGCGAGAAUAUUAUUCCGAUAUCUGUGUACCUACCUACCGACGAACCC